AUUGAACGCUGGCGGCAUGCCUUACACAUGCAAGUCGAACGGCAGCACGGGUGCUUGCACCUGGUGGCGAGUGGCGAACGGGUGAGUAAUACAUCGGAACAUGUCCUGUAGUGGGGGAUAGCCCGGCGAAAGCCGGAUUAAUACCGCAUACGAUCUACGGAUGAAAGCGGGGGACCUUCGGGCCUCGCGCUAUAGGGUUGGCCGAUGGCUGAUUAGCUAGUUGGUGGGGUAAAGGCCUACCAAGGCGACGAUCAGUAGAUGGUCUGAGAGGACGACCAGCCCACCUGGGACUGGGAAACGGCCCAGCCCCCUACGGGAGGCAGCAGUGGGGAAUUUUGGAAAAGGGGGGAAAGCUUGAUCCAGAAAUGCCGGGUGUUGGAAGAAGGCCUUGGGGUGGUAAAGCACUUUUUUCCGGAAAAAAACCCUUGGCUCUAAUACAGUCGGGGGAUGACGGUACCGGAAGAAUAAGCCCCGGCUAACUACGU
rnacentral:rRNA from 1 species